rnacentral:lncRNA from 1 species
UUAAGUAACUUCUUGGAGAGAUACAAAGUAACUAAAAUUUGGUAUUUGUUCUCAGAGAGCAUGAGAGAAACAAGGAAGGACUGAAAAUAUCUAGGGAUCAAGGGAAAGGAGAUCUAUGGAAGAUAGAUCUAUUUAGAUAAGAUUUUGACUUGAGGUAAGUAGCUUCUGUUUUCUUUUCUCUUUGCUAGACUUGGCAGGAAUGUGCUAACUGUCACAUAACAGCAACUGAACAGAUUACAUCAUAAGCAGAUUUUAUGGAGAGAAAUGUUUUCUGCCAUAACACGUCCCAUUCAAGAGCACCCAAUGAUUAAUGAGUUAAACAAGAUGAACUCUGAGGGUCCUGAUGGCAAGAACAGUCUAUGAAUUAAGGAGCUCCACUACUACUUCUGACCAAAAAACUCCUAUUAAUAAAUUAGAAUAAGACAAAUCA